UGACACUGCGCAGGUCCUCGGUUAGGACGC
rnacentral:sRNA from 1 species